GGGUGAAAUCCAAUAUCUGCGCGACACAUUUGGAUGAAGAACUGUAUCGAUCGCGGAAACGCAGCAGAAGUGCCCAAGGUGGUGUAAUUGACGGAAUAAUCAAUUGAAUUGAUUUUAUCCCGCACCUGGAGUACUAAGGUUUGGAAGCGCAUACAAUUAUUUUCAUGUGAAAGACAAAGGGCUGGUCGAGCGUGUCUCAAGCACAAUGAAGAAGACGUGUCACUCUUCAUUGCUAUCCUAUUGCAAAAAGUGCCGUUACAUUUGAAAAGGGGAAAUGGAGGCAUCUGAAUAAAAUGCAGGGCUCUUCUGUUUGGCCAUAUCCUCAAUGCUUAUAAGGUGGAAAUCCCCUGUCCAGCUUCUGACCACAUCGCUGAGUGUCAAAUCCAGGAUAUCGGAUUGGCGAGGGACGUUUGGCAUUAUGCAACCAUUUCCUCUCAUGUACUGUCAUCUUGUGAAGGCUGGUGAACCAUCCUUGAUUCUCCAAUAGGAUUGGGACAUGAAGCUACCGUGGUUCACAGUGUUUUAAGUGGCUGGUGGAAAGGGCCGGAACAUGUCUCAAUGAGCUCGGCUGAAAUGAAAGGAAUGUUUCUCAAAACAACAUCGUCAAUCUGGAGGUUCCAGUCCAAGCGAGUCAUCCCAAAUACUUUCCCUGGAGACAAAUUACCCCCAUUGCUGAUGUUUCCUGGUUGCUAAC